rnacentral:rRNA from 1 species
UGGGGAAUAUUGCACAAUGGGCGCAAGCCUGAUGCAGCCAUGCCGCGUGUAUGAAGAAGGCCUUCGGGUUGUAAAGUACUUUCAGUCGGGAGGAAGGUGGUAAGGUUAAUAACCUUAUCAAUUGACGUUACCGACAGAAGAAGCAACGGCUAACUCCGUGCCAGCAGCCGCGGUAAUACGGAGGGUGCAAGCGUUAAUCGGAAUUACUGGGCGUAAAGCGCACGCAGGCGGUUGAUUGAGUCAGAUGUGAAAUCCCCGGGCUUAACCCGGGAAUUGCAUCUGAUACUGGUCAGCUAGAGUCUUGUAGAGGGGGGUAGAAUUCCAUGUGUAGCGGUGAAAUGCGUAGAGAUGUGGAGGAAUACCGGUGGCGAAGGCGGCCCCCUGGACAAAGACUGACGCUCAGGUGCGAAAGCGUGGGGAGCAAACAGG